UAUAAUUUAUGUAUUUAUGAAUUUUGCAUAUUAAUUUAUACACGUAAAACACAGUAGUUUACAUUGUUUUCAAAUUAAAUCGCGUAAAUAAUUUUUAUUUAAGAGUAAACGUUUAAAACCCUGAUUCUAAUUACAAAAACUAAAUGAUUUUUAAUGUAUGCAUAUAAUAAAAUUUUUAUCUAAUAGAAAGAUUAUAAUAAAAAAAUAUAUCUAAUUUGAUUUGAUUCAACUCUUAAUAAACCAUGCGUUUAUCAUAGAAGUACAUGUAAGAAAACAUCGUGUUUUAUUAAAAAAAAACAUGUCAUAUAUUGUAUAUCGGAUUUACAGUUAUGAAUUCCAAGAAUUUAACCGCAAGUGCACAACGGGAGGGAGUCAUCAUCUAAUUGGUAAUUAAAUCAGAGCUGGGAGCGAGUGAUUCGUUCAAUUUCCAAAAUAGUUCUCACCACAGCGACAAUAGGGCGACGUUGAUUCCGUGCGGCGAUACCGCGAUAAUGCAAUUACAUAAGGCGGAAGCUGGAGAAAGUCAGAAAGAGAAAGAUGGAAACGGAGAGGGAGAAGAAGAGAGAGAAACCAGAAAGGCAGUUACCGAACUAACAUCCCCUAUAUUGAUCUUACGGUCUUGCAGUUCUCUCCUUCUCGUCUUUGGUUUGCACGCAUCUUCCGUGCACGUGCAAACCAGCAGGAAUGUAAGAAAAUUUCACAGUUCCCUGAGAAUAAGCAAUUUUUAGUUGGUAAAAUUAACACGAUUUUCUUUUAAAUUCCUAAAUAUAUUUAUAUAGCGGUAAGUAAAUUUGUGCAAUACAAUUUUAACCUUUGUCUUUAAUAAAUAGAAAUUUGAGUUUUCCGAAUUAAAACGAGGAUUAGCUCCGGAAAGCACUCGAAUUAUUAAAGUACUCUAAGUAUAAAAUAGCUUCAAGAAAUUAUUUACCAUAAAAUGUAUAUAGAAGGCACUUUAUUGUGCGUUAAAAUCUGAUAAAGUCGCGUGAUUUCGCGGUUAUCUCUGAAAAUGCACGCGUUUCUCUGACUGCGACAUACUCUUAAUGCAUAUGUAUGGACUUAGAAGACAGUUCGGGUUACCUAGACAUCGGAUUAUCGCGUAAAGUUCUCACUGCCAUAAAGACCAUUUCGCAACUCUGCAAAUGCCGAUACCAGUUUACAGAAAGGUACCACGAACAUUUAAAAAACUUACCAUGAGAAUUACCUGCGUUAAUCUUUUCGCGAUAAAAAUAAACUUAUUUAUUGCCUGUGACGUAAAGUAUAUAAAAUGGAGUUACAUAAAAUAUAACAUUAAAAAAUUGUUAAAGGUAAAGUUCAUAUUUUUUUUUAAGAUCUGUAAAAAUUUGAUUUGUUUGCUAACUAAAUGUAUAUAAUAUUAAUUCAAUCUAACAUAACGCCAUGAAUCUGUAAAAUAAUACUGAAAUGAAAGCUUCUAGAAAAAUAUAAUUUUCUUGUCGGUUUCUCACGGUCAGAGUUAGAGAAGCGCAAACGUAAUAUAAGUUUUCUAUUCUACUUUCGCGACGUAGCGAAGCGGUCCUCUGAGCAUAGAACCCCCUUGUGUAAAUAUCUCAGAGAUCCAAUAUUGUAUUCGGAGAAGAUGAUCUUAUAUUCGUGAAUUUAAUAUAAGAUAUUUGAAAUUCUAGUUAUAUAUGUCGUCAUAAAGACCCAGUUAGAAU
rnacentral:lncRNA from 1 species